rnacentral:rRNA from 1 species
ACUCCUACGGGAGGCAGCAGUGGGGAAUAUUGGACAAUGGGCGAAAGCCUGAUCCAGCCAUGCCGCGUGUGUGAAGAAGGUCUUCGGAUUGUAAAGCACUUUAAGUUGGGUAGGAAGGGCAGUUACCUAAUACGUGAUUGUUUUGACGUUACCGACAGAAUAAGCACCGGCUAACUCUGUGCCAGCAGCCGCGGUAAUACAGAGGGUGCAAGCGUUAAUCGGAAUUACUGGGCGUAAAGCGCGCGUAGGUGGUUAGUUAAGUUGGAUGUGAAAUCCCCGGGGCUCAACCUGGGAACUGCAUUCAAAACUGACUGACUAGAGUAUGGUAGAGGGUGGUGGAAUUUCCUGUGUAGCGGUGAAAUGCGUAGAUAUAGGAAGGAACACCAGUGGCGAAGGCGACCACCUGGACUGAUACUGACACUGAGGUGCGAAAGCGUGGGGAGCAAACAGGAUUAGAUA